UGCAAGUCGAACGGUAACAGGAAACAGCUUGCUGCUUCGCUGACGAGUGGCGGACGGGUGAGUAAUGUCUGGGAAACUGCCUGAUGGAGGGGGAUAACUACUGGAAACGGUAGCUAAUACCGCAUAACGUCGCAAGACCAAAGAGGGGGACCUUCGGGCCUCUUGCCAUCGGAUGUGCCCAGAUGGGAUUAGCUAGUAGGUGGGGUAACGGCUCACCUAGGCGACGAUCCCUAGCUGGUCUGAGAGGAUGACCAGCCACACUGGAACUGAGACACGGUCCAGACUCCUACGGGAGGCAGCAGUGGGGAAUAUUGCACAAUGGGCGCAAGCCUGAUGCAGCCAUGCCGCGUGUAUGAAGAAGGCCUUCGGGUUGUAAAGUACUUUCAGCGGGGAGGAAGGGAGUAAAGUUAAUACCUUUGCUCAUUGACGUUACCCGCAGAAGAAGCACCGGCUAACUCCGUGCCAGCAGCCGCGGUAAUACGGAGGGUGCAAGCGUUAAUCGGAAUUACUGGGCGUAAAGCGCACGCAGGCGGUUUGUUAAGUCAGAUGUGAAAUCCCCGGGCUCAACCUGGGAACUGCAUCUGAUACUGGCAAGCUUGAGUCUCGUAGAGGGGGGUAGAAUUCCAGGUGUAGCGGUGAAAUGCGUAGAGAUCUGGAGGAAUACCGGUGGCGAAAGCGGCCCCCUGGACGAAGACUGACGCUCAGGUGCGAAAGCGUGGGGAGC
rnacentral:rRNA from 1 species